UCCGGCUUAUCACCGGCAGUCCCCCUAGAGUGCCCAACUGAAUGAUGGCAACUAGGGGCGAGGGUUGCGCUCGUUGCGGGACUUAACCCAACAUCUCACGACACGCGCUGACGACAGCCAUGCAGCACCUGUCUCGGCGUCCCCGAAGGGAACCCUGCAUCUCUGCAGGUAGCACCGGAUGUCAAGGGCUGGUAAGGUUCUUCGCGUUGCGUCGAAUUAAACCACAUGCUCCACCGCUUGUGCGGGCCCCCGUCAAUUCCUUUGAGUUUUAAUCUUGCGACCGUACUCCCCAGGCGGAGAGCUUAAUGCGUUGGCUGCGCCACUGAAGGGUAAACCCUCCAACGGCUAGCUCUCAUAGUUUACGGCGUGGACUAC
rnacentral:misc_RNA from 1 species